UACGAAGGGAGCUAGCGUUGUUCGGAAUCACUGGGCGUAAAGCGUGCGCAGGCGGUUGUGUAAGACAGAUGUGAAAUCCCCGGGCUCAACCCUGGGAACUGCAUUUGUGACUGCACAGCUGGAGUGCGGCAGAGGGGGGUGGAAUUCCGCGUGUAGCAGUGAAAUGCGUAGAUAUGCGGAGGAACACCGAUGGCGAAGGCAAUCCCCUGGGCCUGCACUGACGCUCAUGCACGAAAGCGUGGGGAGCAAACAGG
rnacentral:rRNA from 1 species